rnacentral:rRNA from 1 species
UCAUUACCGAAUUGUCAAACGGGUUGUUGCUGGUCCUUGAAAGGGGACAUGUGCACGCUCUGUUUACACAUCCACUCACACCUGUGCACCCUCCGUAGUUCUAUGGUCUGGGAGACCUUGUCUUCCUGCCGUGGUUCUACGUCUUUACACACACACUGUAACAAAUUCUUAAGGAAUGUAUGCGGCGUCUAACGCAAUACAAUACAACUUUCAGCAACGGAUCUCUUGGCUCUCGCAUCGAUGAAGAACGCAGCGAAAUGCGAUAAGUAAUGUGAAUUGCAAAAUUCAGUGAAUCAUCGAAUCUUUGAACGCACCUUGCGCCCCUUGGCUAUUCCGAGGGGCAUGCCUGUUUGAGUAUCAUGAACACCUCAACUCUCAUGGUUCGCCGUGAUGAGCUUGGACUCUGGGGGAUUUGCUGGCCUGCGGUCAGCUCCCCUCAAAUGAAUCAGCCUCCCAGUGUUUGGUGGCAUCACGGGUGUGAUAAAUAUCUACGCUCGUGGUUGCCUGCCAGGUAACCUUUGAUGACAAAGGUUUGCUGGAGCUUACAGAUGUCUCUCCUCAGCGAGGACAGCUUUUUGGACGUUCGAUCUCCAAUCACGUAGGACUACCCCGCUGAACUUGAGUAUAUCCCUAA